rnacentral:rRNA from 1 species
AUACGUAGGUGGCAAGCGUUGUCCGGAUUUACUGGGUGUAAAGGGCGUGUAGCCGGGUUGGCAAGUCAGAUGUGAAAUCUAUGGGCUUAACUCAUAAACUGCAUUUGAAACUGCUGAUCUUGAGUAUCGGAGAGGCAAUCGGAAUUCCUAGUGUAGCGGUGAAAUGCGUAGAUAUUAGGAGGAACACCAGUGGCGAAGGCGGAUUGCUGGACGACUACUGACAGUUACGAGCGAACGCGUUGUGAGCAAACAGGAUAUGAUACCCUGGUAGUCCACGUUGUAAACGAUGAAUACUAGGUGAGCGGGGACUGACCCCCUGCGUGCCGCAGCUAACGCAAUAAGUAUUCCACCUGGGGAGUACGAUCGCAAGGUUGAAACUCAAAUGAAUUGGCGGGG